UCGUAUUUCCAAAACAACACUAACUUUGGAAAGACCUCAUGCUGACACUUACCCUCCUGAAGCACCAGCAUUCACACUGCCUCCAAGAAACGUUCGGAUUCCCAUUGGUGGGACAGCCAGGUUUGAUGGAAAGGUCAGGGGACAUCCAGAACCUCACAUCACAUGGUACAAGAAUGGACAGCUUGUCCCAAAGAGCGAUCGGUACAUUACUGAACAAAGUACACGUGGAACUUUCAGCUUAGUCAUUAAAGAAGUGCAAAAGGAAGAUGCUGGAAAAUACACAUGUGAAACUGCCAAUGUUGGUGGUGUUCGCCAAGUAACUGUGGAGUUAACUGUACAAGAGGACACUGACAGAAAAUAUGGAUGGCCUUCCAACA